UACGUAGGGCGCAAGCGUUAUCCGGAAUUAUUGGGCGUAAAGAGCUCGUAGGCGGUUUGUCGCGUCUGCCGUGAAAGUCCGGGGCUCAACUCCGGAUCUGCGGUGGGUACGGGCAGACUAGAGUGAUGUAGGGGAGACUGGAAUUCCUGGUGUAGCGGUGAAAUGCGCAGAUAUCAGGAGGAACACCGAUGGCGAAGGCAGGUCUCUGGGCAUUAACUGACGCUGAGGAGCGGAAGCAUGGGGAGUGAACAGG
rnacentral:rRNA from 1 species